AAUCAAAUAAAGUUUAAAAGUUUAAAUAUCAGACAAAGAUAUUGGUAGAAUUGGUUAUCAGUCACUCUCUAUUCAUAUUGACUCUCUCUUCUCUUUAGAUGUUCCAGUUUCAGGUCGGUCUUCAGCUUUUUCAGCAGGAAUAGCUGUUGCUGUCGUUCUGCUUUUAGCUGUGUGUGCUGCGUUUGUGAUUUACUAUCGCAAGCAUCAAGAGAGAAGAGAAGACAUCGGGAUGCAGAACAUUGGUCCGGUGAAUCAGAAUGAUGCUCCAGUGAAUCAAGAGUCCUUACUGUAGGAGACUGCCACAUACUGUUGAACAUGGAUGGGACAUCCUUUAAUAAGACUCUGGCUGAUUAUCAUUACAUCAUUUAUUACACUGAUACUUUAAAAGGACAGUGUAGAGGCAGUGGAAAAUCGAGAAAAAAAGCAUCAGUUGAAACCAGAGGUGGAUGAGAGUAUCAUUCACUGUGAAGUUUACACUGUGAUGUACCUGAAAGAAGAACAUUAUGGUUAUAUAUGACAUGAGAAUAAUUUAUGAAGAAUAUAUAUAU